UAGAUACCCUGGUAGUCCACGCCCUAAACGAUGUCAACUAGGCGUCGGGUUGUUAAAGACUCGGUGCCGGAGCUAACGCAUUAAGUUGACCGCCUGGGGAGUACGGCCGCAAGGUUGAAACUCAAAGAAAUUGACGGGGACCCGCACAAGCGGUGGAGCAUGUGGUUUAAUUCGAUGCAACGCGAAGAACCUUACCAGCCUUGACAUCCUAGGAACUUGGCAGAGAUGCCUUGGUGCCUUCGGGAACCUA
rnacentral:rRNA from 1 species